AAACAGAUCUCUGCAGACUAUUUUGAAGCCACCAUAGGUAUUAGCCAGUCUUCCACCUCCCACUUCAUAUAACAAUUUCCAGAGGCAUUCUCAGGAGAGCCAAUCAAGAUAUUAAGUUUACCCACAGACAACCAGACUGCCAAUACCCUGCAGCAAGUCAGGAGAAAGAAGAAAUGGAGACAUACACAUAGAGAACUGACUUCAGGACACAGUGGGGGAAGAGUGAAGUUAAUAUUGUCCCUGCUGCUGUUCCUGUCAUCAUAUCCAAAGGAUUUGGGGUUGCCAUGAUUUUAACAGAGAACAUUAUCCUGGACACUAUUUACCUAACAGGUGGUUGAAGACAAUGAAAGUCAGUAGUUGUUGGCAGUUAUACUGAACUAUUAUUGCUUUUCCAUGUCUUCCUUUCCAGGCAACUUUGCAGUUCCUCUUAUAAAAAUACAAACUGGGCUUCAGUAACCCUGGAGCUCAGCCAAAGAACUGCUCUGGUCAGAGGAAUUUGGGCAUAAGUGACAGAGUGCUGGUCCCAAACUUAGGCAUUGACAGGCCUUGUCUAUUUCCAGUU
ensembl:lncRNA